rnacentral:misc_RNA from 1 species
GAGAGAGAGAGAGAGAGAAAUAGUAGGGGGAGAGAGGGUAAUUUAGUCAUUGAAAAGUUCUCUCUCCUUAGACCAUUGAAAUCCGUGAGACUAAUGACAAAUUGAAUUAAGAUUGAACGAAAGAACCUUCCAUUUUUGACAGAAUUAAAACUUAGGGAUUAAAUAAUUUAUUUUCUAUAAUACAAGGACUCAAGUGCUAAUAAUGGUAAAAUUUAUGGACUACAUAGUAAAUUACCCAAAUAAAAAUCAAUUAACAGAGAUAUACACAGGCACACAAUGGUUUGCCAUGGAGAGAACUAUCAGCCAUCAAUGGAACUGGCCACAAAGUUCCAUUGCUUUUUAUUGUUUGUCUUGCUGUAGAGACUUUCUAAGAUAUGAGAAAUUGAGCCAGGCUUCCUUUUAACUUCAGCUUGGCAACUGGAAGCCUCAUAUUUCUCAAAGAGCAUUUGGGAAGUCAAAGAAAGUACGAAUUCAAUUCAAUUCACUUCUAUUUGAUUAAUUUUUACGUUUGAAAAGUAUGCAGGUGCUAGAAUCCAGUUAUUUCAACUUUUUUUUUUUUAAAGAGUUAUUUUG